CAAUAGCGUAUAUUAAAGUUGUUGCAGUUAAAAAGCUCGUAGUUGGAUUUCUGGAUGGAGCGACCGGUCGGGCAUUAAUUUGUCUGCACUGGAGUCGGUUCCGUCCAUCCUCUUGGAAAGUGCGUCGGGCAUUAAGUUGUUUGGCGUAUGAUCCAAGUCGUUUACUGUGAAAAAAUUAGAGUGUUUAAAGCAGGCCUUCGCCUUGAAUACAUUAGCAUGGAAUAAUAAGAUAGGACUUUGGUCUAUUUUGUUGGUUUGCAGACCGAAGUAAUGAUUAAUAGGGAUAGUUGGGGGUAUUUAUAUUCCGAUGUCAGAGGUGGAAUUCUUAGAUUUUCGGAAGAUAAACUUAUGCGAAAGCAUUUACCAAGGAUGUUUUCAUUAA
rnacentral:rRNA from 1 species